AUCGCUUCAAUGGUCAUAAAAAUGGUGUUCCUCUACUCGGAUCGGGCUGUCAAUUUUUUUCUACACUUUUAGGUGUAUUUUGUGCAAGAAAUUGCAAUAAAAUAGUGUGCCUAAGAAAAAUUGAAUGUUUUUGAAAAUUUUUUUUUGACGAAAAUCGCUUUAAUGGUCAUAAAAAUGGUGUUCCUCUACUCGGAUCCUUCUGUCAAUUUUUUUUUACACUUUUAGGUGUAUUUUGUGCAAGAAAUUGCAAUAAAAUAGUGUGCCUAAGAAAAAUUGAAUUUUUUUGACAAUUUUUUUUUGGCGAAAAUCGCUUCAAUGGUCAUAAAAAUGGUGUUCCUCUACUCGGAUCGGGCUGUCAAUUUUUUUCUACACUUUUAGGUGUAUUUUGUGCAAGAAAUUGCAAUAAAAUAGUGUGCCUAAGAAAAAUUGAAUGUUUUUGAAAAUUUUUUUUUGACGAAAAUCGCUUCAAUGGUCAUAAAAAUGGUGUUCCUCUACUCGGAUCGGGCUGUCAAUUUUUUUCUACACUUUUAGGUGUAUUUUGUGCAAGAAAUUGCAAUAAAAUAGUGUGCCUAAGAAAAAUUGAAUGUUUUUGAAAAUUUUUUUUUGACGAAAAUCGCUUCAAUGGUCAUAAAAAUGGUGUUCCUCUACUCGGAUCGGGCUGUCAAUUUUUUUCUACACUUUUAGGUGUAUUUUGUGCAAGAAAUUGCAAUAAAAUAGUGUGCCUAAGAAAAAUUGAAUGUUUUUGAAAAUUUUUUUUUGACGAAAAUCGCUUCAAUGGUCAUAAAAAUGGUGUUCCUCUACUCGGAUCGGGCUGUCAAUUUUUUUCUACACUUUUAGGUGUAUUUUGUGCAAGAAAUUGCAAUAAAAUAGUGUGCCUAAGAAAAAUUGAAUGUUUUUGAAAAUUUUUUUUUGACGAAAAUCGCUUUAAUGGUCAUAAAAAUGGU